CGCGGUAAAUUGACCGUGCGAAGGUAGCAUAAUCAAUAGUCUUUUAAUUGGAGGCUGGAAUGAACGGUCGGACGGAGAUAGUCUGUCUUUAAAUUAUAAAUUGAAUUUUACUUUUAAGUGAAAAGGCUUAAAUUUACAAGGGGGACGAUAAGACCCUAUAAAACUUAAUGAGUGUGAUUUUUUAAUGAAAUAUUAAUUUAAAAUUAAUAAAUUUUAUAUCAUUAUAUUGGGGCGAUAAGAAUAUAAAAUGUUAACUGUUCUUUAUUUUAAAAUAUAAGUGGGUAUUAAAUUAAUGAUCCUUAAUUUAGGAUUAUAAGUUAAAGUUACUUUAGGGAUAACAGCGUUAUUUUUUCUGAGAGUUCUUUUCGAAGAAAGUAGUUGCGACCUCGAUGUUGAAUUAAGAUGUUAUUAAGGUGCA
rnacentral:rRNA from 1 species